rnacentral:lncRNA from 1 species
CCUAGGUUCAUUUUCAUUCUUGAGAGAAACAUCCUCAGGUGUCAGUAGAUAAAUGCCUGCUGCUAGCUCUCCUCUUCCAGAAACUUUGUUGAAAUAUUUUCUUGCUGAUGGCCCCCUACAUGUCUUCUCAUUGUUGAGCUUUAUAAAAUUAUUAACACUCUCUCAGGAGGAAGAGAAGAUGUACAUGCCACAAUUUGGAAUGGGAAGCUCGCAGUUCUUCUUCUUCUUCUUCUUCUUCUUUUUUUGAGACAAAGUCUUACUCUGUCGCCCAGGCUGGAGUGCAGUGGUGUGAUCUCGGCUGACUGCAACCUCCACCUCCCAGGUUCAAGCGAUUCUUCUGCCUCAGCCUCCCAAGUAGCUGGGACUACAAGUGCGUGCCACCACGCCUGGCUAAUUUUUUGUAUUUUUAGUAGAGAUGGGGUUUAACCGUGUUAGCCAGGAUGGUCUUGAUCUCCUGACCUCGUGAUCCACCCACCUUGGCUUCCCAAAGUGCUGGGAUUACAGGUGUGAGCCACCGCGCCUGGCCUCAGUUCUUUUUACAUGGUCUCUUUAUUUAUGACGUAUUUUCAGUGUUGUUGGUUUUCAAUUAUGAGUGGAAACAAGUCAAAAAUAUAUCAUCAGGACACUGUGUGUUUAUUUUGGAAGAAUUUUCUGGCUAGCUAAGUGGGAGGAAUACUACACUAAUCCCAAAAAUAAAAAUCGCUACUGUCCAUUUUGAGCUAGGGCUUGGGCUUGGGAGACCUGAGCUCAGUUCUGGAAUGCAGAGUCCUCUCAAGAGGGCAGAGCGUCGACCCUGCCUCUGUGGCUCACAGUCAUCAUGACCUGAGGAUUAGGGUUCUCCUGGGAGACAGCUGGGCUCAGAGGGGAGCGUUACCUUUACUUGAGAUGAUCG